GCAGUGGCGUUUCCCUGCCCCGAGGAGAGAUGGAGGGCUAGCUAGUGCGUUGUGGGAGAUGUAGUCCUCCAAGGGGUUCUCAGGCUUCUGGGGGAUCUAGGCCUCAGAGCCUCUAGCCAUGCUGAAAUGGGGAUGAUGGGAGUUGCAAUGUAUUCUCCGGACUCGAUGAAGCCGCCAUUGUUGCACGCGAUGCCGCCGGUCGCCAGGGACAGAAUUAUCACCCGGUUCCCAAAGUGGUACACCUGAGCAGUGUUCGAGUUCAA